rnacentral:rRNA from 1 species
GACAGAGGGGGCAAGCGUUGCUCGGAAUUACUGGGCGUAAAGAGCGUGUAGGCGGCUAUUUAAGUCCUGCGUGAAAUCCUGCGGCUCAACCGCAGACGGUCGUGGGAAACUGGAUGGCUAGAGUGCGGGAGAGGAGAGUGGAAUUCCCGGUGUAGCGGUGAAAUGCGCAGAUAUCGGGAAGAACACCCGUGGCGAAGGCGGCUCUCUGGAACGCAACUGACGCUGAGACGCGAAAGCGUGGGGAGCAAACAGG